ensembl:lncRNA
CAUAUGGGCUCCAGCUCAGGCCUGGGGACAUGGCCUCAGGUUGGACCUAGGACUAAAUGAUGUGUGUGGUCAUUGUUGGAGGCUCUGGCUGGGCCAGAUAGACACUGGGUCACUCACCUUUCCCAGGACUGUGGAGAGUCUGAGCUCUGCUUUAUUCCAGAACCCUUCACAGGCGGGAGCUCUCUGAGGUUGGCAGAGGUUUAAGGGAAUACUUUGGGGUGUUCCCUGCAAAGUUGGUCUUCUAAACUGUGAAUGGCACUGAUGGAAAAAAGCUGAAAUGGUUUUUUGAGCAUGAAUUGGACUAUCUCCAUCUUUCUUAGACUGUGGCUAAGUCUCCUCAUCAGAAAGAAAUGGAGAUGAUAAUAUUUGUCUUUCUUAUCUCACAGUUAUUACAAAGAUAAAAUAAGAUAACAUAUGAAAUUGCCUUGAAAACUGUCAAAUACUACAGAGGCACACGUUCCAGUUAUCAUCAUAUUCUCAACCAUCCUGCAGUAAUGGGAUGCCAUUUUCAUGUCAGUGCUAAUGUAGGACUCCCACUGGGAAGAGAAUAAUCAAAAGAAUGCCGCUGCCUCUGCUCAAGCUCUCUGGAAGGAGCCCUCUGAGCCCAAGGAAGGGCCAUGCUCCCUCUCUAAGCAUCACCUACUCGCUGGCCAGUGUGUUCACCAAGCAGAGAGUUCGUGCACUCAUACUCAGAAAGGGCAUGGCUCUAGGAACUGCCUUCCACCUGCUGGUCUUUCACAUAUGUUAAUAAUAAAAACUCUUCUCAAACCUCUGGGAUCAGCAUACAUCUUUGGAAAACAGAAGUUGCCAGUUGCCAAUGCUGCCGGUCUUGUCUCUCUUAACACAGCUGUACUGCACCCACUGCUUUCCUAUUCAGCUCACCCUUCCUACAAAAUACAUCAAAUUUAAAAUGCGUUAAGUAAAUUAAGUUACCUAGGAGAGAUUUUAGCUCAGGGGAGCAGGGUGGUACUUAAAAAUGUUAAUUAUCUGGAGCACAGAGCUUAACAUUCUGGACUCCAAGAUGGUUUUUAAGCCUAUUUAGAUUUUCUCCAAAUUCUUUAAGGC